rnacentral:misc_RNA from 1 species
GAAAUGCGAAAAGUAAUGCGAAUUGCAGAAUUCAGCGAGUCAUCGAAUCUUUGAACGCACAUUGCGCUCACCGGCAUUCCGGUGAGCAUGCCUGUUCGAGCGUCAUUUCAACCAUCAAGCCCCGCGCUUGUGUUGGGGACCUGCGGCUGCCGCAGGCCCUGAAAACCAGUGGCGGGCUCGCUGUCACACCGGGCGUAGUAGAUUUUAUCUCGCUCAGGGCGUGCUGCGGGUUCCGGCCGUUAAAAAGCCUUUUUUACCCAAGGUUGACCUCGGAUCAGGUAGGAAGACCCGCUGAACUUAAGC